GACCACUUUCUUUGGACAAUAUGUUUUCAAAACUUAUGUUUACAUGAAUUCUGAUUAUUACCAGGGAUACACAACAUCCAGAAAUAUAUGUAGAUAUCUUUGUUAGAAAUAAUACUAUAUUUCCCUUGACGUAGUGAUGCUGAAUGUAAAAUAAUUGCUGAACAUACCCCACUCACCCCUACCCGGUUUGUUCUGGGGAUUUCCCCAAGAACGUUUAUAGGACGCACUCUGUCAUGGUCACCUGGAGGUUUUUGUCUCGUUCCCGGCUUGUUCCGGAGAUGUCACUUGAACAAAACAAAAACUCUACCCACGGCACAUGAACCCUAGUUUUAUUACACAUGUGGUUAAAUUAUCUGCCCAGAUACUAGAAGGUUGAGUCAUACCAUAGACUCUUAUAAUAUUGGACAACUGAGGGAAAUGGACCAAGUGGAUAGAAUGGAAGAGGGCAUUGUAAGAGAAACAGGCAUCAUGUUGAGCUACAGGAGAGUUAUGAUUGUUUGAGGGCCCAGCUGUUGAAGCUACCAGCCAGGAGGCCAAUGCCAGUUUUCACAACGGGCACUGUCACACAGCUCAUUGGCAUGACAACUGGGAGAGUGUGAGUCAUUAACGUCAGCCUCAUGUUCAUUCAACCACUUAAAUGACUCUAUGGGGAACCUCAAUUAAGCUACAACCUGCAACUCUUAAUAUAAUCCUCAACACACUUUUGAGGCAACUUCUUCUACUUAUUUCAUAGGUGUAACGGGUCCUAUGUGUGGCUGGUGUAGAGAGUCAGGCGCAGGACAGCAGAUAUGAGUAAUCAACGUACUUUUACUCAAAAUGUCAAAUAUACAAAGUAACAAAUACACGCACACCAUGACAGACCGUAAAUACAAUAAACAAUCACUCACAAAAACCCAUGGGGGAACAGGGUUAAAUAAUGAAACAGUAAUUGUGGGAUUGAAAUCAGGUGUGUAAAACAAAGGGAAAACAAAUGGAAAAUUAAAAGUGGAUCGGCGAUGGCUAGAAGGCCGGUGACGUCGACGGCCGAACGCCGCCCGAACAAGGAGAGGGACCGACUUCGACGGAAGUCGUGACAAUCGGCAAUCUCACUGAGUAUCUGGAGAUAGUCCAGGCAUUCCUAGCUGAGGCGAAGCAAUGAAG
rnacentral:lncRNA from 1 species